GACGAACGCUGGCGGCGUGCUUAACACAUGCAAGUCGAACGAAGUGGCGAACGGGUGAGUAACGCGUAAUCAACCUGCCCUUCAGAGGGGGACAACAGUUGGAAACGACUGCUAAUACCGCAUACUGAAGGAGGGGAUUGCGUCUGAUUAGCUCGUUGGUGGGGUAACGGCCCACUAAGGCGAUGAUCAGUAGCCGGGCGUAGAGGAUGAACGGCCACAUUGGGAUGGAGACACGGCCCAAACUCCUAAGGGAGGCAGCAGUGGGGAAUAUUCCGGAAUGGAGGAAAGUCUGACGGAGCAACGCGGCGUGAGUGAUGACGGCCUUCGGGUUGUAAAGCUCUGUUAAUCGGGACGCGGUACCGGAAUAGAAAGCCACGGCUAACUACGUGCCAGCAGCCGCGGUAAUAC
rnacentral:rRNA from 1 species